rnacentral:tRNA from 1 species
GCCUGGGUGGCUUAGUCGGUUAAGCAUCUGGCUUCAGCUCAGGUCAUGAUCUCACGGUUCAUGGGUUCAAACCCCGUGUCGGGCU